rnacentral:rRNA from 1 species
GACGAACGCUGGCGGCGUGCUUAACACAUGCAAGUCGAACGGAGAGGCCCUUCGGGGUACUCGAGUGGCGAACGGGUGAGUAACACGUGGGUGAUCUGCCCUGCACUUUGGGAUAAGGCUGGGACACUGGGACUACUACGGAAUAGGACCACGCGAUUCAUGAUGAGUGGUGGAAAGCUUUUGCGGUGUGGGAUGGGCUCGCGGCCUAUCAGCUUGUCGGUGGGGUAAUGGCCUACCAAGGCGACGACGGGUAGCCGGCCUGAGAGGGUGACCGGCCACACUGGGACUGAGAGACAGCCCAGACUCCUACGGGAGGCAGCAGUGGGGAAUAUUGCACAAUCGGCGCAAGCCUGAUGCAGCGUCGCCGCGUGAGGGAUGACGUUCUUCGGGUUGUAAACCUCUUUCACUAGGGACGAAGCGCAAGUGACGGUACCUAUAGAAGAAGCACCGGCCAACUACGUG